CCUACGGGUGGCAGCAGUCGAGAAUCAUUCACAAUGGGGGAAACCCUGAUGGUGCGACGCCGCGUGGGGGAAUGAAGGUCUUCGGAUUGUAAACCCCUGUCAUGUGGGAGCAAAUUAAAAAGAUAGUACCACAAGAGGAAGAGACGGCUAACUCUGUGCCAGCAGCCGCGGUAAUACAGAGGUUUCAAGCGUUGUGCGGAAUCACUGGGCGUAAGGCGUGCGUAGGCUGUUUCGUAAGUCGUGUGUGAAAGGCGCGGGCUCAACCCGCGGACGGCACAUGAUACUGCGAGACUAGAGUAAUGGAGGGGGAACCGGAAUUCUCGGUGUAGCAGUGAAAUGCGUAGAUAUCGAGAGGAACACUCGUGGCGAAGGCGGGUUCCUGGACAGUAACUGACGCUGAGGCACGAAGGCCAGGGGAGCGAAAGGGAUUAGAUACCCCGGUAGUC
rnacentral:rRNA from 1 species